rnacentral:rRNA from 1 species
UACAGAGGGUGCGAGCGUUGUUCGGAAUUAUUGGGCGUAAAGGGCGCGUAGGCGGCGCGGUAAGUCACCUGUGAAAUCUCCUGGCUCAACUGGGAGCUUGCAGGCGAAACUGCCGUGCUGGAGUGUGGGAGAGGUGCGUGGAAUUCCCGGUGUAGCGGUGAAAUGCGUAGAUAUCGGGGAGGAACACCUGUGGCGAAAGCGGCGCACUGGACCACAACUACGCUGAGGCGCGAAAGCUGGGGGAGCAAACAGG